rnacentral:tRNA from 1 species
GGUUGUGGCUCAGCGGUAGAGCGCUUGUCUCGCACAUGUGGGGCCCUGGGCUCGAUCCUCAGCACCA